GUGCUCGCUUUGGCAGCACAUAUACUAAAAUUAAAAUGGUAUAGAGAAAACUAGCAUGGCUCCUGCACAAGGAUCCCACUUAAAUUUAUAAAGCAUUUCAUAUUUUG